CUCCGUUCUUGUGAGCAUCGUGGUCUAGUGUUGAUUCAUGUUGCUGCAAUCUUAGCAUAUUCACUUGUUUGUUUACACAAAUCCAAGCUCUGUCAUCAGAUUUCAGCCGCCAAGCCGAGGAUGGACGGCGAUGUUCAAAAAAUUAGGUGGAACUGAAGAUGUGUCUUCCUCCUGGUCCUGGGUACACAAUGAACUGUAGAGUUACAUCGCAUGUUGUGGUCUUCAGCGCCGGGCUGCCUAGUACGAUAGAAAUACAAACAUCAACGCGUUGUCUAGUCGAGCUGAUCUAGCUAAAUAAUUUGCACCGACUAAUGUAAUUUUUAUUACAUGUUCACAUAUUGAUUUCUUAAUUUUUGAUAUGCACGGGAUGCCUGAAAUAUGUAAACACAUGUGUGCAUGGACACAUAUAUAUGUUUAUUCAAAUGGAGAUCUUACUCUAGCCGUACUUGUAAAACUUGCAUUGUGUAAUCAGGCCAUCCUUGCUAUUCGUAUGGGCAUUAAACUUUUACAUCACC